GUUAAAGCUGGUCAGUAUUUGAGUGGGAUUGGGAUUUAUAUUUUAAACUAUAUUAAUGCAGAAUUUGUUUGAAGUUACAAACUCUGCUUUGAAUUUGCCCUAUGCAUGUUUAGUAGACAUUUCAAAUUGUAACUCAUGCUAUAACAAAGAUGCAGAAAUGCAAAAGCAAAGAAAUUCCUUUCCAGCCACUGCUUAAGCAAUUUUAAGGCAUGUGUGUUUUCCUCAGUUAUGCUAUGCUGGAAAUGCUUAACCCAAUGACAGUUGCUUUCUGUAGACAUCUUUGAUAACAGGCUAUCAAAACAGAUGAAUAUGGCAUUUAGGCUGUCUGUCAUGGUAUAUUUUACUUUCUAGCUACUCAGUGUUCAAUUUGAUAGGUGAAAUGGGAACAUUUGAGACUUGUAUUAAACAUUUCAUAUUGCAAAUUAAUUUAAAUGAUUAGCUAUGGGGCAUCUGACUAAAGUGGCAAAUGCUAAAAUAUUAUCUGAGAGCUCAAAAUAUCCAAGCAUAGUUAAAUUUUAGAAUGCACUUUGGAGUUACAGUGAACUAAGAACUAAGAAAAUGAUUUGUGUUUUAAUUUGAGGAUCUACUCCAAAAUAUUGUCUUGGAAAAGAUACCAGACUCAAAAUAUUGCAAGUCCCAUUUUCUGUUCCCUUUGGGAUGGACAGUACUGACUGAAAGAACAUGACCUUAUACCUAUAUUCAUGGAAUAGGUAAAGUCAAUUAAAUAUGAAAGUGCUCUGUCUUUCACACACUGUGAUUCAAAGGGCAGCGAAGGAAAGAAGGCAGUGGAGGCUGGGUGAAUCGCUGGCAUGGAGUAGAGAAGCUUCAACCUCCAGCCUCCUGCAAAGAUGUCUGUGUCCAUUCCUAAGAGUACAGAUAAAUCCCUUAAAGAAAUCUCUAUACACACAAAAUAUCUCUUAA
rnacentral:lncRNA from 1 species